rnacentral:rRNA from 1 species
CCUACGAGUGGCUGCAGUGAGGAAUAUUGGUCCAUGGGCGCGAGCCUGAACCAGCCAAGUAGCGUGACGGAUGACUGCCCUACGGGUUGUAAACUUCUUUUAUAAAGGAAUAAAGUGAGGCACGUGUGCCUUUUUGUAUGUACUUUAUGAAUAAGGAUAGGCUAACUCCGUGACAGCGGCCGCGGUAAUACGGAGGAUCCGAGCGUUAUCCGGAUUUCUUGGGUUUAAAGGGAGCGUAGAUGGGUUGUUAAGUCAGUUGUGAAAGUUUGCGGCUCAACCGUAAAAUUGAAAUUGAUAAUGGCAGCCUUGAGUACAGUUGAGGUAGGCUGAAUUCGUGGUGUAGCGGUGAA